rnacentral:rRNA from 1 species
AUUGAACGCUGGCGGCAGGCCUAACACAUGCAAGUCGAGCGAGCGGCGGACGGGUGAGUAAUGUCUGGGAAACUGCCUGAUGGAGGGGGAUAACUACUGGAAACGGUAGCUAAUACCGCAUACCAUCAGAUGUGCCCAGAUGGGAUUAGCUAUUAGGUGGGGUAACGGCUCACCUAGGCAACGAUCCCUGGCUGGUCUAAGAGGAUGACCACCCAAACGGGAACGGAGACAGGGUCCGGACUCCUACGGGGGGAAGCGGGGGGGAAUAUUGCACAAGGGGCGCAAGCCUGAGGCAGCCAGGCGGGGGGUGUGAAGAAGGCUUUGGGGUUGUAAAGCACUUUCAGCGGGGAGGCGUUACCCGCAGAAGAAGCACCGGCUAACUCCGUGCCAGCAGCCGCGGUAAUU